rnacentral:rRNA from 1 species
UACGGAGGGUGCGAGCGUUGUCCGGAUUUAUUGGGUUUAAAGGGUGCGUAGGUGGGUUAAUAAGUCAGUGGUGAAAUACGGUUGCUCAACAAUCGAGGUGCCAUUGAUACUGUUAAUCUUGAAACAAGUGGAGGUUGCCGGAAUGGAUGGUGUAGCGGUGAAAUGCAUAGAUAUCAUCCAGAACACCGAUUGCGAAGGCAGGUGACUACGUUUUGAUUUGACACUGAGGCACGAAAGCAUGGGAGCAAACAGG